AUCUAACAAACAUAUUUUACUUUCUACUAGUUCCCAGAGACCAUCACAUAUCCUGAGAUACAGAGAUGAGCAAGAUGAAUGAGAGCCUCCUCUCUCACAGAGCCUCUGACAAAGUGCAAAAGAAACAACCAGCAAUAGUUACACAAGCAAGAUUGCUAACAAUCUCUGGAAAGGGGGCAGAAGAGAUCAACUUGUGGAUUGACAUGACCUGAAAAAUUCUCUUCAGCUGUGAAGAAAACAUCGAGUCUUUGGAAGUCUCACUUUUGAAUUCUCUAAAAAUUAUUCUCCUUCCUAUAGCUACCCAGCUUUUCACUGUUUUAGAACUUUAUGAGCAUCCCACCUGUGAGAUACAAGUAGGAGACAAAGAGGGUAGCAGUGUUGAGUUCUGUUUGGAAUAAUUGACAUUGUCUAUUAAGUUAGAAAAUGAUUAAGAAAGAACAAUUCUUUGUGUAGCCAUGGACUUAACUGUAGACUGAAAAUAAAAAUAAAUGCUUUCAU
rnacentral:lncRNA from 1 species